GAUUUCCCUUUUUAUAAUCUCAGCCGUUGAUUAAAGUUGAUUUAAUGGAUACGAUUUUUUUUUACAUCUUAAUAUAUUUUUUCAAUUUCUCUUCCUACUUCUCAGAUCUGUCGAUCUCCUAAGAUUGCUGCUAUUGGUCAAUGAAAAAGGUUGAGGAUUACCCUUUUUCUAAUCUCAGCCAUCGAUUAAAAUUGAUCUAAUGGAUAAGACUUUUUGCAUUUUAAUAUUCUUUCCCUAUCUCUCUUUCUUAUUUCUCAGUUCAGUCGACCUCUUAUCUCCUAUUUUCUCUUUCUCGUCUUCAUCUCUUCAUCUUUUUUAUUUUCCUUUUGUUGAUCACCUCAUCUCUUCAUCUCCGUUUUCCUUCCCGGUGGUGCAAAGCUCGAUCUCCUCUACGUUUGUCUCCUCUCAGGUUGUCUUUUCUCCGGUCGUCUCCACUCGGGCCCGUCUCUUCUCGUGGGGUCGUCUCCUCUUCGGUCAUCUCUCUCCGAUGCUACAAGGUGUUGUGGCAGUCCAGUCUCCUCGGUGGUGAAAAUCCAGUCUACUCUCUACUCCUCUACAGUCCUAUGCGGUGUGGCAGUCCAGUCGAAUUGUCCGGUGCUUUAGCGGCCGUCAAAGUAGUUAUGUUUAGACUGUCUGUUGUAAUUAGGUUUAGACUGUCUGUUGUAAUUAGGUUUAGGUUAGCAAACUUUGUUUCGUCAGUAAACCAGUUUUAAUUUGUAAACCAGUACAUUUAUAAACUGAAUUUUAAUAAUGAAACAAAAUUUUAUUUGCAACCC
rnacentral:lncRNA from 1 species